ensembl:lncRNA
AUGAAAGAGCCAAAUGUUGCGAGAUAUCGGAUCAGAUAUCAAGGAUGGAGCUUCGUGCACAACCUCUCCCGCUUGGAUGAGGGUUUAUUUAGGAUAAGGAAGUGGACCAAAGAGCACACUCCAAACCCUGGCUUGGGUCUCCAGUUUCCAUUUUGCAUUUGGGAGCGGCGGACUGGUCCGGCGCCACAGCGAGAUGGUUCAGAUGGGAAAUGAUGUCCAUGUCCCGAGCCUGGGUGGCACCGUGUUUGUGCCGUCUUUCUCCUGGCGUCUGUUCUCAGAUGGGCCACAUCUGCAGGGCUGGAGCCAUCAGGCACCUGCUGAAAGGUAGGAAUAAAGGAAAGUAACAGAUUUCUCAUGCCGUCUUUCAGCAAGUGAAAGAGCAAAAUGAAAAGUGUCCUUAAUAACACAUCCAUUAGAUCCAGAGUGGGUCUCUUCAAUAUGAGCCAUGACUGCAUGUCGAUUUUGUAGUUUCUUCAAUUUAACUUUUUUAUUUCAUGCACAAUAUUCCUUGUCUGGGCUCCCCAAUAUAGUCACUAAAGGGAUUUGAAUGACUUCAGUCUGUGGGUUCCUCCUCUUUGUCAUACAUUUUGGUUCAUAGAAAACUAAUCUUGAUAUUGGAUACACAUCAGGUGCUCAUUUAGGUUGUUCCAUGGCCUCAAAUACACAUCACCAAAUAUACCUAUAGGUCUCUUUAGAUUAGCUUAUGUACACACACGUCACUGAUCUAUUUCCCAUCUGUCACUUUCGAAUGACAGUUUAAAACAGUUGAGGUGUUUCCUGUUAUGAUUUCCUGAGUAGUGGAGCAUGAAACCACAAUUUAAACAAACACUUUACAUUUUUGUCCAUUGAUAACAUGCUGUCAUUGAUGGCUUCCUUGUGCCUCUUCAGUUAUUUGCAACCCCACACACGGCGUACUUUGAAUUUCACGAUGGAAGCCUUCAAAGUGUUCCUGCCGAUCCUUCAGAGGCCAACAGACGACGCUGUCGUCAAGCGUCUCUGUGUGUUUGCUUUUUAUUUUACUCUUUUAACAGCCAUAAAUGAAUCGGUGCGUCUGCAGCAUUGAAGCGCUUUGGUGCAGGAUGUGCACUCGCGUUCGCUUCUGUGAUGUUUUUCCACUCACAGAGACAGUUUAUCUGUUGAGUCCACGACAUUUCUGAGAAAUAAAGCACUGAUUCGAUCUGUUGCUUAGGCUCUGAGCACAAAUGUUGCAUUACGACGUCUGCAGAGGCCUGCGUGAGGCUGCCCUCUUCGUUCUGAGGGUAGGAAGGCUGGAUGUAAGAUUUCACCUGUAGAGCAGUAUUUGUCAUCUGUCAGCACAGGUCUGAUUUGGGGUCAGAGCAAAAUAAGGCAGAGGCUGCAGCUGCUCGAGGAGCUGGGCUCAUUCUGCAAGGACACAUGUGGAAAGCAGAUCACUCAUGCAUUUGCCCAAGUUAGGGAGUAUGGAACAGGGGUGUAGGAGUCAGCAGAUGUUAAAUUAAGCAUGCAGUGAAUAUGUAAUGAGCUAUUAAGGCAGGAGAACAUGACCUGAAUACAGCUGUAUUCUGCUCACAGAUCACAAAAGGUCAGAGGUCUGAAUCUCAGAGCCGUGCCCCCCAUGGUAACCCUGGCAGGGGAGAUGAUAUGGCGAGGAGAGAAUUUGAGCCGGGCAAAUGUGGUGCUUUUUGAAUUUUGCAUUUCCACAUUUAGGUCAAACUUCACCUCAGGUCUUGCAACCAUCUGUUCCUGGGAUGCUGGCCAAGGCCACAGGGCAGGCCCCCAGUAGAAAAGGGAGAGGCUGGAACCAUCUCAGACUCCAUAAAGAGGCCUCGCUGCUCGGCAGAUCCCGCUGAUGGACCCUUUUCCUACCCUGUGUUUCAGGUGUUUUCCCUUUUUAGCUGCGGUCUCCAGGGAGCCAGCUUCAAAAUGGAUGAUUGCCUGCGACCAUCACAUUAAAAGCAUUAAUCCUGCUCUUAUCAAGCGGGGAGUGAUGAAUUAGGAGCGUCAGCUCCGGGCUCACCUCUGUUGUCAUUUGAACAGAAUCAAAGCUUUAAAUCACAGGGCUGCACCUGGUAAUAGGAGGGGGUGGCAGCGGUCUAAUACUGUGUGUGACACAGCCAUACUGCUUCCAGCUGAUUUAAUAAGUGCAAAGGAGGGGGAGGCGCUGGGCUAAAUUAACAUUUGAGCAAGGGAUUAAAUCUGUGAUUGCAAUGGAAAAAACACUCAUUGUUCUAUAGAUUUUUUCAUAUAUAGAAUUUUUUCCUGCUCUGCAAGCAAAAUAACUGAGUCCCAGUGCUGCACUGCUUUCGCUCUCAUAUUUGAUUACUACAACAAUGCUUUACUUUCUUCUUUUUUAUUUCAGCUUCUCGGGUUUCCUCCUGGGGAGGCCUUAAUAAUCUUGCUUGAUGUGUCAGCAGAGGUCCUUCUUCUAACACCAACCACAGACGCCACGCUACACAUUCACAAGGUCAGGAUGAGCCACGUCUUUGCAUUCCUUCAGCAGCCACACAUAAACCCAUUUUUUUUGUGCAUAUUUUAAUGAAAUGAAUUCCCUCGUGUGCAUCUUUUAAAAGGGCUGCGUUCUCUCUUGUUUAUGGAGUACUGCUGUGUGUUUAUGAUAAAAAAAAAUAAAACAUCAACUGCACGAAGCAACCGCUUUAAUGAGUAAAGACAAUGUGACUCGAUUAUUAAAAAUAUUUUGCCAUGCUCAUUUUUGUUCCUACUUCAAAGCAGUUCAUUACAUUUUGUUAAUUAAACCUAGAAUAAUUGAGCGCAGCUUCAAACGGCGGAUUUCUGGCGCUCAUUGAAAUAUGGAUUGGGCUUUGGAAGCCUCAUUUCUGAACAUCCAGACCCUGGAAUGCCCCAAACCAGCUCAGUCUCCUGCACCAUCAUGGAGACCCCUCUCUCCUGUAUCCGUAGUCCUGCCGAGUGAUGCGGACCAAGGUGGCCACGUUGCAGGGAAUAUUAAACGGAGUUUGCUGUCUAGUAAACACAAGGAUUGAGCUGACAUGUCGCCAAAGACAUAAUUUAAAUCUCAGGAGGUCACAGGAAACAUUAGCAAAUUAUCUACCCAAUGCCUUCCAAGAUCUUGCAGCAGAUAAUGGAAAAGCCAAUCUAUUUGGCUGAUCUCUAUCUUAUCGGAAUAGGCCGAGAAAAGCUCACAGUAAUUUCACUUGAUAUGAUAGAAGAUUUCCCUUCACUUUGAGAUUAGGUUUGCCUCGGGGGCCUGGGCUAUAAUUGUGAGCGUCUAACAAGGUGAAACAUUGGUGGAAUUCACAACUAUUUCUCAUGAAAUGCAUGAAGCCAGGGCAACAGUGAGAGAGCUGACCCUGCUGGAGGAAACGUUACUGUCGGAAGGCCUGCUGGCUGGAUAAUGUCAUGAAUUUGAUACAGUGGAGUAGCAAUUUCGACACCAUCAUGUCAAAAUUG